GAUGAACGCUGGCGGCGUGCUUAACACAUGCAAGUCGAACGAUGAAGCCCAGCUUGCUGGGUGGAUUAGUGGCGAACGGGUGAGUAACACGUGAGUAACCUGCCCUUAACUCUGGGAUAAGCCUGGGAAACUGGGUCUAAUACCGGAUAGGAGCGUCCACCGCAUGGUGGGUGUUGGAAAGAUUUAUCGGUUUUGGAUGGACUCGCGGCCUAUCAGCUUGUUGGUGAGGUAAUGGCUCACCAAGGCGACGACGGGUAGCCGGCCUGAGAGGGUGACCGGCCACACUGGGACUGAGACACGGCCCAGACUCCUACGGGAGGCAGCAGUGGGGAAUAUUGCACAAUGGGCGCAAGCCUGAUGCAGCGACGCCGCGUGAGGGAUGACGGCCUUCGGGUUGUAAACCUCUUUCAGUAGGGAAGAAGCGACAGUGACGGUACCUGCAGAAGAAGCACCGGCUAACUACGUG
rnacentral:rRNA from 1 species